AGUCACUGUUUUGUUGUUCCUGGACUGGUAAAGAACUGGAUUUCAGCAGAACAGGUAUUAGUUACAUAAGAUUACAUAAACUAAAGAAAAUAGUUUUGUGUCUUUUUGUUUCGAAUGUUGCUGAUAGAGUGUUUUGAGCUUGUUCUCUUAAGCUGACAACAGUUUAGUAGAUAGCUGUCUUUAUAAGCAGAAUUGAGACAUCCUUCUCUCUACCUGAUCCCUACAGAGUUUAAAAACUUUCGGUGACUGUUUUUGUAUUCCAUGGCAGUAUGUUUAUUUGCACGAGUUUAGUAAGAAUCUGCUUUCCUUGUGAGAAGACUAAUUAAGAACACUGGUUAUACUGCCAGGGCUUUGGCUGAAAUGUCAUACCUGGGAGACAUGUGCAUGGACUCAGAUGUGAACAACUUUAAAGAACUAAGAUUGACUUUAUAGAGCCAACAAAGCCCCUUGGAAGAACUAGCCUAGUACCUUGCUUGCAGAGUUCCCAGCAGCCUUCCCAGAAGCCACAAAACUGCAAAUAGUAAUAAAAACGAAACCCAGAAUAGAAGCGCCAGCCUUCUGAGGCCCUCUCAACUGACCAGUGAUAGAGACCUAGCUGCACCCUUUACUGCGCCCCCUUCUCAGCACGAAGCAGCCAGAGCGGUCAUCGCCCCUUUUCCCUAGCAGCAGCUAGAGUCUCUACCUGUA